UACGUAGGGUGCGAGCGUUGUCCGGAAUUAUUGGGCGUAAAGGGCUCGUAGGCGGUUUGUCGCGUCGGGAGUGAAAACACCGGGCUUAACUCGGUGCUUGCUUUCGAUACGGGCAGACUAGAGGCAUGCAGGGGAGAACGGAAUUCCUGGUGUAGUGGUGAAAUGCGUAGAGAUCGGGAGGAACACCCGUAGCGAAGGCGGCCGACUGGACCACACCUGACGCUGAGGCGCGAAGGCCAGGGGAGCGAACGGG
rnacentral:rRNA from 1 species